rnacentral:rRNA from 1 species
GUACAAUCCCCUAAAAUAUUCCUUCUUGGCAAUUUGCAUGGGUACAAGUGUACUUUUGAGGGCAAACAACAAUUCACGUUUUCAUCCUUUUUUUGGAAGUUAAAAAAACGUAACAAGGUUUCCGUAGGUGAACCUGCGGAAGGAUCAUUACCGAGUGCGGGCCCUCUGGGUCCAACCUCCCAUCCGUGUCUAUCUGUACCCUGUUGCUUCGGCGUGGCCACGGCCCGCCGAAGACUAACAUUUGAACACUGUCUGAAGUUUGCAGUCUGAGUUUUUAGUUAAACAAUAAUUAAAACUUUCAACAACGGAUCUCUUGGUUCCGGCAUCGAUGAAGAACGCAGCGAAAUGCGAUAAUUAAUGUGAAUUGCAGAAUUCAGUGAAUCAUCGAGUCUUUGAACGCACAUUGCGCCCCCUGGUAUUCCGGGGGGCAUGCCUGUCCGAGCGUCAUUGCUGCCCUCAAGCACGGCUUGUGUGUUGGGCUUCCGUCCCUGGUAACGGGGACGGGCCCAAAAGGCAGUGGCGGCACCAUGUCUGGUCCUCGAGCGUAUGGGGCUUUGUCACCCGCUCCCGUAGGUCCAGCUGGCAGCUAGCCUCGCAACCAAUCUUUUUAACCAGGUUGACCUCGGAUGCAGGUAAGAUGCCCCCCC